rnacentral:rRNA from 1 species
UACGUAGGGUGCAAGCGUUGUCCGGAAUUAUUGGGCGUAAAGAGCUCGUAGGCGGUCUGUCGCGUCGGAUGUGAAAAUCCAGGGCUCAACCCUGGACCUGCAUUCGAUACGGGCAGACUAGAGUUCGGCAGGGGAGACUGGAAUUCCUGGUGUAGCGGUGAAAUGCGCAGAUAUCAGGAGGAACACCGGUGACGAAGGCGGGUCUCUGGGCCGAUACUGACGCUGAGGAGCGAAAGCGUGGGGAGCGAACAGG